rnacentral:rRNA from 1 species
GACGAACGCUGGCGGCGUGCUUAACACAUGCAAGUCGAACGGAAAGGCCCUGCUUUUGUGGGGUGCUCGAGUGGCGAACGGGUGAGUAACACGUGAGUAACCUGCCCUUGACUUUGGGAUAACUUCAGGAAACUGGGGCUAAUACCGGAUAGGAGCUCCUGCUGCAUGGUGGGGGUUGGAAAGUUUCGGCGGUGGGGGAUGGACUCGCGGCUUAUCAGCUUGUUGGUGGGGUAGUGGCUUACCAAGGCUUUGACGGGUAGCCGGCCUGAGAGGGUGACCGGCCACAUUGGGACUGAGAUACGGCCCAGACUCCUCCGGGAGGCAGCAGUGGGGAAUAUUGCACAAUGGGCGGAAGCCUGAUGCAGCAACGCCGCGUGCGGGAUGACGGCCUUCGGGUUGUAAACCGCUUUCGCCUGUGACGAAGCGUGAGUGACGGUAAUGGGUAAAGAAGCACCGGCUAACUACGUG